GCCCCCGGUUGCCAUGCCUCCUCCCUCCCAGCUUUUGCUCAGCUGGUUACAGUAGAGGAGAAGUAGAUCACAGCUUUUUAUAUAAGAAAAGACCAAAUACCUGUGAAAUGGAUCUACUAUUUAAGAGCAAAGUUUUAUGGAUAGCAGGCAAUCUAUGCACUUUUGCCUCACUACUUUGGCACCUAUUGUGGAAUGGAGUGAAACUAAAAAAGGACAAAAAGGGAGCUGAAUCUGAUGUUAAGGU